rnacentral:rRNA from 1 species
GACGUAGGGCGCGAGCGUUUGUCCGGAUUUAUUGGGCGUAAAGAGCUCGUAGGCGGCUUGUCGCGUCGACUGUGAAAACCCGCGGCUUAACUGCGGGACUGCAGUCGAUACGGGCAGGCUAGAGUUCGGUAGGGGAGACUGGAAUUCCUGGUGUAGCGGUGAAAUGCGCAGAUAUCAGGAGGAACACCGGUGGCGAAGGCGGGUCUCUGGGCCGAUACUGACGCUGAGGAGCGAAAGCGUGGGGAGCGAACAGG